UGUAAUGUACUCUCUCUUCGGAGCAUCGGUGACAGGUGGUGCAUGGUUGUCGUCAGCUCGUGUCGUGAGAUGUUGGGUUAAGUCCCGCAACGAGCGCAACCCCUGUCCUUAGUAGCCAGCAGUUCGGCUGGGCACUCUAGGGAGACUGCCAGGGAUAACCUGGAGGAAGGCGGGGAUGACGUCAAAUCAUCAUGCCCCUUAUGACUUGGGCUACACACGUGCUACAAUGGCGUAAACAAAGGGAAGCGGAGCCGCGAGGCCGAGCAAAUCUCAAAAAUAACGUCUCAGUUCGGACUGUAGUCUGCAACCCGACUACACGAAGCUGGAAUCGCUAGUAAUCGCAAAUCAGAAUGCUGCGGUGAAUACGUUCCCGGGUCUUG
rnacentral:rRNA from 1 species